rnacentral:rRNA from 1 species
UACGAAGGGUGCAAGCGUUAAUCGGAAUUACUGGGCGUAAAGCGUGCGUAGGCGGUUUCUUAAGUCUGCUGUGAAAUCCCCGGGCUCAACCUGGGAAUGGCAGUGGAUACUGGGAGGCUAGAGUGUGUCAGAGGAUGGUGGAAUUCUCGGUGUAGCGGUGAAAUGCGUAGAGAUCGGGAGGAACAUCAGUGGCGAAGGCGGCCAUCUGGGACAACACUGACGCUGAAGCACGAAAGCGUGGGGAGCAAACAGG